UACGGGGGGGGCAAGCGUUGUUCGGAAUUACUGGGCGUAAAGGGCUCGUAGGCGGCCAACUAAGUCGGACGUGAAAUCCCCAGGCUCAACCUGGGAACUGCAUCCGAUACUGGAUGGCUUGAAUUCGGGAGAGGGAUGCAGAAUUCCAGGUGUAGCGGUGAAAUGCGUAGAUAUCUGGAGGAAUACCGGUGGCGAAGGCGGCAUCCUGGACCGACAUUGACGCUGAGGAGCGAAAGCGUGGGGAGCAAACAGG
rnacentral:rRNA from 1 species